AAGAAGACCCCAAGCCUGAACUGCUAAUUCACGGUCCCUAGGACUAAACCCCUAGACUUCUUGCU
rnacentral:tRNA from 1 species